rnacentral:rRNA from 1 species
AUUGAACGCUGGCGGCAGGCCUAACACAUGCAAGUCGAACGAGUGGCGGACGGGUGAGUAAUGUCUGGGAAACUGCCCGAUGGAGGGGGAUAACUACUGGAAACGGUAGCUAAUACCGCAUACCAUCGGAUUUGCCCAGAUGGGAUUAGCUAGUAGGUGGGGUAACGGCUCACCUAGGCGACGAUCCCUAGCUGGUCUGAGAGGAUGACCAACCACACUAGAACUGAGACAAGGUCCAGACUCCGACGUGAGGCAGCAGUGGGGAAUAUUGCACACUGGGUGAAAGCCUGAUGCAGCCAUGCCGCGUGUAUGAAGAAGGCAUUCGUGUUGUCAAGUACUGUCAGCGAGGUGCCGUUACUCGCCGAAAAAGCACCGGCUACCUCCGUGCCAGCAGCCGCGGUAAUAC